AUACGUAGGGAGCGAGCGUUGUCCGGAAUUACUGGGUGUAAAGGGAGCGUAGGCGGGAGUGCAAGUCAGAUGUGAAAUACAUGGGCUCAACCCAUGGGCUGCAUUUGAAACUGCAUUUCUUGAGUGAAGUAGAGGUAAGCGGAAUUCCUGGUGUAGCGGUGAAAUGCGUAGAUAUCAGGAGGAACUCCGGUGGCGAAGGCGGCUUACUGGGCUUUUACUGACGCUGAGGCUCGAAAGCGUGGGGAGCAAACAGGAUUAGAUACCCUGGUAGUCCACGCUGUAAACGAUGAUUACUAGGUGUGGGGGGACUGACCCCUUCCGUGCCGCAGUUAACACAAUAAGUAAUCCACCUGGGGAGUACGGCCGCAAGGUUGAAACUCAAAUGAAUUGACGGGG
rnacentral:rRNA from 1 species